GACGAACGCUGGCGGCGUGCCUAAUACAUGCAAGUAGAACGCAGUUGCGAACGGGUGAGUAACGCGUAGGUAACUGCCUCAUAGCGGGGGAUAACUAUUUGGAACGAUAGCUAAUACCGCAUACUGUGAGAUGGACCUGCGUUGUAUUAGCUAGUUGGUGAGGUAAAGGCUCACCAAGGCGACGAUACAUAGCCGAACUGAGAGGGUGAUCAGCCAAACCGGGACUGGGACAAGGCCCAGACUCCUACGGGAGGCAGCAGUAGGGAAUCUUCGGAAAAUGACGGCAGUCUGACCGAGCAAAGGCGCGGUAGUGAAGAAAGUGUUCGGAUCGUAAAGCUCUGUUGUUAGAGAAGCGGUAACUACACAGAAAGGGACGGCUAACUACGUGCCAGCAGCCGCGGUAAUAC
rnacentral:rRNA from 1 species